CUNCUUUUUCUUUUUACUUGCGUGCAAGAUGGUUCGGCCCUUCUCCCCCCCACCCCCACUAUUUUUUUUUCUCUUCUUUGCUUCUUUUGGGGUUUCACCGGUGGUAGCGGUGACAGGCCCCCUACCCCCACCCUUUUUGGUUUCGUGGUGUUUUGUGUGUCUUUCAGGUAUUACUCGGUGGUUAUUGGAGACGAGUGGGAAGCGCGCGCACAAACAUAAGAGACCAACCAAGGCAAGUGUCGCAAGGGGCGGUGGGAAGUUGGACGUGAACGCGCCAAGUGCCGUAACAUCGUCGUGUACACCAAGUCAAUUUCUAGGUUCCAUUCUCGAGAGUUGAUCCAGGUAUUUCUGGACAUAAAGGGUGCUAACUCUCUCGCAGAGUUGAUUUUUUCGGAGAUUCAGAGGAAUGUCUCGCAAUCGCCGACUCUUGGUCGUCUGUAAAUGUCGAAAUUGCGCAUGUGGCUGUGGAUGUCCAGGCCGUAACUAGUACUCUAGCUCCGCCUCUGACAAGAGAUAUACGUAGAUCAUGCUUCUAUAUCUGUGUGUGAAAAUAUAAUAUUUAUAGGUGUACUGUACUUUGUCUAGAAGACUCUAUUGGCACCUAUGAAAGUUCCCUUUGUAAUGUUACUGUUUGUCUAAGUGGAAUUUUUCUACUCUUAA